rnacentral:lncRNA from 1 species
CACAGUUACCUUUGCAGUGUCCUGCAAUAGACGUCGCUCUCUUAUCAUGUGCUCUAAUGUCCUAUAUGUUCCCUAGGAUAUUUGCAUUUGGUUACGACAAUUGAUGUCUGUAGUAUUGACAAUGUCCUCAUCUUUUCUCGCAGGCGAGACCGUAAUAGGACUUGGUCUAUUGAAUUGAUCAUCUUCAUUGCCAUCACACAAGCUGCAUAGGCACCUAUUAUGGCUGUCAUACGUUUGUUGUUCUCCCUAAGAUCAUCUUCCAUGGUAUCCAUGUUAUUUUAUGUAGACAUCCUUAGGAAUAAAUCUAAGAUAGAAGAAGGCUCU